rnacentral:rRNA from 1 species
GAUGAACGCUGGCGGCGUGCCUAAUACAUGCAAGUCGAGCGAACAGACGAGGAGCUUGCUCCUCUGACGUUAGCGGCGGACGGGUGAGUAACACGUGGAUAACCUACCUAUAAGACUGGGAUAACUUCGGGAAACCGGAGCUAAUACCGGAUAAUAUAUUGAACCGCAUGGUUCAAUAGUGAAAGACGGUUUUGCUGUCACUUAUAGAUGGAUCCGCGCCGCAUUAGCUAGUUGGUAAGGUAACGGCUUACCAAGGCAACGAUGCGUAGCCGACCUGAGAGGGUGGUCGGCCACACUGGAGCUGAGACACGGUCCAGACUCCUGCGGGAGGCAGCAGUAGGGAAUCUGCCGCAAUGGGCGAAAGCCUGACGGAGCAACGCCGCGUGAGUGAUGAAGGUCUUCGGAUCGUAAAACUCUGUUAUUAGGGAAGAACAAAUGUGUAAGUAACUAUGCACGUCUUGACGGUACCGGGUCAGAAAGCCACGGCUAACUACGUG